GCAGCAGGCUGCCCCAGGGCCCUGGAAACCUGAACGCUGGAGGAACCAGAUGGGUGACCAGGCAGGAAACUCAGCAGGUUUCUGAUGUUUGGAGCCCUCUGCAAGUUUCAUGGGAACCUGGGCAAAAUUGACUCACCUUGCUGAGAUUUUGCUGAAUUGGUGAAUUCCUCUGAAAUGCUGUUUUGCCUGAAACCUUCUGAGCAGGUGCAGUAUCUCCAGGUAUCUCUUGCAGACAGAAACAAGGCAUUGCCCUGUGCUUCCAGAGUGGGGCUUUGGGAGUCAGAGGCACAUUUGCCUUUGCUACUGAGCCCUGUGCCAGCAUUCACACUCUUUAAGUGAUUUUGAGGAGAGAGCACACAGGAACUUGGCACUGAUGAGUAAAGGAUGCUGACAGGUUAUUCUGAUCCUUAGAAAAUCAUUGUGUUCUCAUUGCACUACACCUCACCCACCUACUCUGUCUUGUCCUGUAGACUGUAAAUUCUCUGUAUUCAAUUAAUUCCCCAAGUUCUCCUUUUGUUUUCACAGCCUCUAGCUGAGUUUCCUAGGUGCUGCCCUCAUCCAAACAAUAAUAAAGACAGCUCUGUCCUGCUGCAAACCA